CAUGCGGCUGCUACCAUGCAAGUCGAACGUGAUCCGCCCUUCGGGGUGGUGAAAGUGGCGCACGGGUGAGUAACGCGUGGAUAAUCUGCCCGAGGAUUUGGGAUAACAUCUCGAAAGGGGUGCUAAUACCGAAUAAGCCCACGGGGUCUACGGAUCUUGCGGGAAAAGGGGGGGACCUUCGGGCCUCCUGUCCUUGGAUGAGUCUGCGUACCAUUAGCUAGUUGGUGGGGUAAUGGCCUACCAAGGCGACGAUGGUUAGCUGGUCUGAGAGGAUGAUCAGCCACACUGGAACUGAGACACGGUCCAGACUCCUACGGGAGGCAGCAGUGGGGAAUUUUGCGCAAUGGGGGAAACCCUGACGCAGCAACGCCGCGUGGGUGAUGAAGGCCUUCGGGUCGUAAAGCUCUGUCUGGAGGGAAGAAAUGAUUGGGAGCUAAUACCUCUUGAUCUUGACGGUACCUCUGAAGGAAGCACCGGCUAACUCCGUGCCAGCAGCCGCGGUAAUACGGAGGGUGCAAGCGUUGUUCGGAAUUAUUGGGCGUAAAGCGCGUGUAGGCGGUCUUUUAAGUCUGAUGUGAAAGCCCCGGGCUCAACCUGGGAAGUGCAUUGGAAACUGGGAGGCUUGAGUACGGGAGAGGAGAGUGGAAUUCCUAGUGUAGGAGUGAAAUCCGUAGAUAUUAGGAGGAACACCGGUGGCGAAGGCGGCUCUCUGGACCGAUACUGACGCUGAGACGCGAAAGCGUGGGUAGCAAACAGGAUUAGAUACCCUGGUAGUCCACGCCGUAAACGAUGAGUACUAGGUGUUGCGGGUAUUGACCCC
rnacentral:rRNA from 1 species